rnacentral:rRNA from 1 species
AGGCCGAAAGGCGUAGUCGAUGGGAAACAGGUUAAUAUUCCUGUACUUGGUGUUACUGCGAAGGGGGGACGGAGAAGGCUAUGUUAGCCGGGCGACGGUUGUCCCGGUUUAAGCAUGUAGGCUGGUUGUCCAGGCAAAUCCGGAUAAUCAAGGCUGAGGUGUGAUGACGAGGCACUACGGUGCUGAAGUAACAAAUGCCCUGCUUCCAGGAAAAGCCUCUAAGCAUCAGGUAACAUCAAAUCGUACCCCAAACCGACACAGGUGGUCAGGUAGAGAAUACCAAGGCGCUUGAGAGAACUCGGGUGAAGGAACUAGGCAAAAUGGUGCCGUAACUUCGGGAGAAGGCACGCUGGUGUGUAGGUGAAGCCCCUGCGGGUGGAGCUGAGACCAGUCGAAGAUACCAGCUGGCUGCAACUGUUUAUUAAAAACACAGCACUGUGCAAACACGAAAGUGGACGUAUACGGUGUGACGCCUGCCCGGUGCCGGAAGGUUAAUUGAUGGGGUUAUCCGUAAGGAGAAGCUCUUGAUCGAAGCCCCGGUAAACGGCGGCCGUAACUAUAACGGUCCUAAGGUAGCGAAAUUCCUUGUCGGGUAAGUUCCGACCUGCACGAAUGGCGUAAUGAUGGCCAGGCUGUCUCCACCCGAGACUCAGUGAAAUUGAACUCGCUGUGAAGAUGCAGUGUACCCGCGGCAAGACGGAAAGACCCCGUGAACCUUUACUAUAGCUUGACACUGAACAUUGAGCCUUGAUGUGUAGGAUAGGUGGGAGGCUUUGAAGCGUGGACGCCAGUCUGCGUGGAGCCAACCUUGAAAUACCACCCUUUAAUGUUUGAUGUUCUAACGUUGGCCCCUUACCGGGGUUGCGGACAGUGUCUGGUGGGUAGUUUGACUGGGGCGGUCUCCUCCCAAAGCGUAACGGAGGAGCACGAAGGUUAGCUAAUCCUGGUCGGACAUCAGGAGGUUAGUGCAAUGGCAUAAGCUAGCUUGACUGCGAGCGUGACGGCGCGAGCAGGUGCGAAAGCAGGUCAUAGUGAUCCGGUGGUUCUGAAUGGAAGGGCCAUCGCUCAACGGAUAAAAGGUACUCCGGGGAUAACAGGCUGAUACCGCCCAAGAGUUCAUAUCGACGGCGGUGUUUGGCACCUCGAUGUCGGCUCAUCACAUCCUGGGGCUGAAGUAGGUCCCAAGGGUAUGGCUGUUCGCCAUUUAAAGUGGUACGCGAGCUGGGUUUAGAACGUCGUGAGACAGUUCGGUCCCUAUCUGCCGUGGGCGCUGGAGAAUUGAGGGGGGCUGCUCCUAGUACGAGAGGACCGGAGUGGACGCAUCACUGGUGUUCGGGUUGUCAUGCCAAUGGCACUGCCCGGUAGCUAAAUGCGGAAGAGAUAAGUGCUGAAAGCAUCUAAGCACGAAACUUGCCCCGAGAUGAGUUCUCCCUGAGACUUUAAGUCUCCUGAAGGAACGUUAAAGACGAUGACGUUGAUAGGCCGGGUGUGUAAGCGCAGCGAUGCGUUGAGCUAACCGGUACUAAUGAACCGUGAGGCUUAACCUU